rnacentral:tRNA from 1 species
UAGCUCAGUUGGUAGAGCAUGAGAUUCUUAAUCUCAGGGUCAUGGGUUUGAGCCCAA